rnacentral:rRNA from 1 species
UACAGAGGUCUCAAGCGUUGUUCGGAUUCAUUGGGCGUAAAGGGUGCGUAGGUGGCGCGCUAUGUCAGGUGUGAAAUCUCGGGGCUUAACUCCGAAACUGCAUUUGAUACUGGCGUGCUUGAGGACUGGAGAGGAGACUGGAAUUUACGGUGUAGCAGUGAAAUGCGUAGAGAUCGUAAGGAAGACCAGUGGCGAAGGCGGGUCUCUGGACAGUUCCUGACACUGAGGCACGAAGGCCAGGGGAGCAAACGGG